CUCUCAAGCUCAGGCUGUACAAAAAGAGUAUCCAGAGCCCUGUUAUGGUCCAAUUCAUAUGGAAUGGGUAAACUAUGGUUUGGUUACAAUUAAUGGGCUUUGGACCUUCAUUCUCUGUGCCCUCCUUUCCUAUGUCUUGUGGUUGGCUGAACGCAGGGAGGAAGAAACUUGGAACAUGAGGAGAACAGAGCAUGUGUAAACUCAGCAGCCAAGUCUAAGCAGGAACAUAUAGAUCAGGACAGGUUACUCUAGCAACACAGGUAAUGAAACCUACUUUUGAUUUGUCAUGGAAGUCAAGGAAGAGCCACCUGCUCAGAGACAGUUUUCCUGCUCUGAAAGAACCUUGUUACCCCCUCUCCCCUUUCCCUCUAGCCUGUUGCGUUGCCUUUACAAUAGCUAGAAUUCAACAGGGACUCUCUUGGAGUCCCUUAUGCAGUCAGUGAUGGCUGGUGGAGCAAAGCCAUUUCCUUUCUUGAAUGCACCAUAUGUAGACCAGCUUCAAAGAGCUAAAACUGAUUGUGUGAUGGCAUCUGCAAGGAGGAGAAAAGCACUGAAGAGCCUUGUAGCCCAUUAAUGGCCAAUUUAUUAUGGCAUAUGCUUUUGUGGGUUAAAGUCUGGAAAAGAUUAUGUCAUAAUAUACAUAUUUUGUCUUUGAGUUGCAACAUACCUCUUCGUUUUUGCUGCCACAAAUUUAUAUGGCUAUCUUUUGGAAGUUCCUAGGAAGAGUUGCAAGAGUUGAAGCCUUUUCUUUUGUCCAAUGACAAGCAAAAGUGGCAGGGAAAAUGCAGUGAAACUUGUUCCUCUCUGUAUCCCUUUUGCAGUAUUCCAUCUUUUAGCUGCUGCUACAGAUUGCUCCUUUGGAGGGUUGCCUGGUGCUAACCAUAGAAGGAGGUUUCUAAGUCUAUGAAAAACCAUUAUCACAGGAGGAUAUGUAGAUGUGGUUGCAUAUAGAAUCUAGGUGGAAGGACAUCUUUUUAAGAAAACGGGAGAUUUUUUUUCUAGAGUUCUUUCAAAUGAUAUAUAAAGGGAAAGAGGGAACAUACUUGUGCUUCUUUGUCUUGUCAGAAAUCAGUUUUGUGCUUCUUCCUAGGCAGUUUCAGGCAAGAUGGAAAAGCACAGGUUGGUGGCACUUCAUGUACUUUCUGCUUAUUGUCCUGUCAAAAAAUAAAAACAAAACCCUCAGUGCAAUAUCACUAGCAGUUUUGUUUGUUAGUCAGUGCAUACUUGUUGUAUCACAAAGCUUUGUUUUGUUCAGCCAGUCAAAGCAUCCAGAAAAAUAUUUUGUACAGAUAACUCCCCAAAAUGGAAAAGCAGACUACUCUGUGCAUACAGCUGACAUUGUAUAACUUCACAAGUGUUCUUAUGCUCACCUUUCAAUACCUUACUACAUCCAGUAAAAUUACGAUCAGAAGGGCUCAGCACAAUAAAGCAUUUGCAUUGUAUGUGGCGCUUCAGUCAGUGGAGUCCCACCUUCAGUCAGUGGGGAGAGCGUAUGUAGAAGUGUUAGGAAAGGUCUCAGCACACUUUUUAUCUGAAGUAAUAUUUAUGCUGUUCCUCAGCCCAGCACCCACAAAAUUACAAUCUAAAAAGGACACAACUUACAAGGAAAAGGGAAUGUAGAGGGAAGCAAGGAGAAAUUAAUUCUUACAGCAGGGCUGGUGGGUUGGCUGUGUUCUCACUCACAUCUCCCUCAGCUCAUCCUGCUGGAAUGGCUCAGCAGACUGUACAAAGUUUUUAUGUUCAAACGUUUGCAGAAGAGUUGGCUGUAUUUUGUGAGGAUUCUGGUUAUUUUGCAAGUGGCUUGUUGGAAGCUUUUGCAAGAUUUAUUGUAGUGAAUGAAAUGGCAUGAUUUGCAUCUUCCCUGUUACAGAAAACCUCCAGCAAAACAAUUAAUUUGAAAAGUAAAGUAUGGACUAUAAAGUAGGUAAGCUAUAAAUGUUAGGGGUAAUAAUGGGGCACUUAUCUUGCCUUUUCUCUUCUAAGUAUUCAACAGUAGAGGAACCUAUGCAUAUGGAUAGGGCCAGGGUUAUAACAGAACCCCUCAAGGACACUGGCAUUCUGAAUUUUCAGGUCCUGUUAUGUUAGUAAUGGCUUCUCUCCUGUUCUGCUCAGGCAGAUGAUGACCAAAUUCUAGGUUUCCAUCAGACCUUUUUGUUGAAAAGCUUACAAGGUGCCUGGGUAUGCACCAAUGAAGUCUUCAGGCUAGCGCUCCACAAUGUUUAGCCUCUGGUCGCCUCCUACCUCUGAUCUUCGCAGUUCUCACAGAAGAGCUUCCCACUGACCAGAUGAUAUUUCUUCACCAAGAAUCUGUUUCCAGAUUGUCAUAUGUUUCUUAUCUUGAUGGCUUUCAGUAUCAUAGUGUAAUAGCAGUUUGUAAAGUUUUCCCAAUACAUGUAUAAUCUGCUGUAUAAUCAACUUUUCAAAACCUGUCAGACCUCUUAAGAUACCUUCUCCUGUUGUGUUUCCGCCUUUGGUCUUGAAAUCAAUAAACAAGCCAAUGUAUAUUUUUCCCUUCA